rnacentral:rRNA from 1 species
GACGAACGCUGGCGGCGUGCUUAACACAUGCAAGUCGAACGGAAAGGCCCUGCUUUUGUGGGGUGCUCGAGUGGCGAACGGGUGAGUAACACGUGAGUAACCUGCCCUUGACUUUGGGAUAACUUCAGGAAACUGGGGCUAAUACCGGAUAGGAGCUCCUGCUGCAUGGUGGGGGUUGGAAAGUUUCGGCGGUUGGGGAUGGACUCGCGGCUUAUCAGCUUGUUGGUGGGGUAGUGGCUUACCAAGACUUUGACGGGUAGCCGGCCUGAGGGGGUGACCGGCCACAUUGGGACUGAGAUACGGCCCAGACUCCUACGGGAGGCAGCAGUGGGGAAUAUUGCACAAUGGGCGGAAGCCUGAUGCAGCAACGCCGCGUGCGGGAUGACGGCCUUCGGGUUGUAAACCGCUUUCGCCUGUGACGAAGCGUUAGUGACGGUAAUGGGUAAAGAAGCACCGGCUAACUACGUG